rnacentral:rRNA from 1 species
UACGGGGGGGCAAGCGUUGUUCGGAAUUCCUGGGCGUAAAGGGCUCGUAGGCGGCCCACUAAGUCAUACGUGAAAUCCCUCGGCUUAACCGGGGAACUGCGUCUGAUACUGGAUGGCUUGAGUUCGGGAGAGGGAUGCGGAAUUCCAGGUGUAGCGGUGAAAUGCGUAGAUAUCUGGAGGAACACCGGUGGCGAAGGCGGCAUCCUGGACCGAUACUGACGCUGAGGAGCGAAAGCCAGGGGAGCAAACGGG